AGAAAAGGCAAUGGUAGCAACUUUAUUUUCACCAUCAUAGACAACUUUUAAAAUAUACAUUUUGUUCAGAGUGUUUAAAUCUGUAAACAUAUUUUUCAAUAAAAUAAAAAAAACAAUUUCUACCAAACCUGGAUUUUCUGCAGACACGAUGGGCACUCACCUGACACCAUCAGGUCAUUGCAGCUAGUUAAACCUCUCUAUCACUUCUCUUUUCUACAAUGUGAUGGUGAACCUAGCAAUCUUAAUUACAUUUCCACAAUCUGCAGUGUGUCUGCUGCUAGUUUCAAUAGUUUCAAAUAAAAUUAACCUUUGCUGGAAUCAUAAAAACAUCUUAAAAAAUUAUUUUCUCCUAAAAAAAAAAAAUUGAUUCCAGAGGAUUGCAUAAAUUGAC